GUAAUGAUUUUUGGUCACUGUUCAAGAGUUUACAUUAAUAUAAAGGGCACUCAGGGCAUGGACAUUGUCUACUGACUAGCUUGUUAACAAACACAGUGAACAGAGCUGGAAUACCUAUCUUCAUUCUUCCAUGGGGAGAGAACCCUGUUGUUUAAGUCCUACAGGUCAGGGCAGCUGGUGCCUAGCCUUAGAGCUCGAGUAUGAAGGGACCAGUGAAGAUCACGGCAGUGGUUUUGGUUGGCAGAUGAAUUUUGUGUGGAAGAUGUCUUGUGUGGGAGCCUGCCACCUCUACAAGGGAUCCUGGUUUCUAUAAACUCAAACUCAAAGCAAAAUCUUAUGUGAACCCUAUAAGUAGAUACAAAGCAGGGGGCCCUAGAAAGAUUCAUUCACACCCAGA